GCUUCCCUAUCAGCUUUGGAGUCUUGUUAUUCCUGGCCAUUCUCUAUGAGGUUGGAGUUCUUUCCUGACCACAUUCCAUGGCUUUAUGUGAUGAAAUAAUGUUGCCUGAGCUUCAGGCAACCCUGUCCACCCUGUCUUCAUACAGACCCUCCAGGAUCACAGAAGUUCUCGGCCCCCACGCCCCCUGCUCUGCUGGCCUUUGAGAGCACAGCAGCCAGCCACCUGGGAUGGCAGGCAGGCCUUGGACUCACUGCCUUUCAGUACAGAUCCUCUCUCUCCAAAAAGUAAACACGAACAGAGCAGUGCACUGCGCCUGUGUCUGCCUGGGAAGCAUGUUAGGUCCAUCCGUUCAGCAUCCCAACCCUAUGAAACUGCUCUGGCCCCACGGAUGGGAAAGCUCAGGUGAAGAUGGCUCAGGGAGCAGCGCAACAAUGGGAGGAGGCAGUGUUAGUGGUGAGCUGAGAUUGUCCCCCAGUCGCAGCCAUAAAUCACCCCUGGGUAAUUCGGUCUGAGCCCGUGAGCCUGAGGAAUUCUCCUUUACCUCCCUAUGCGCUGGGGGAUCGAUCGUGGUUUUCUAACUUGCAGAUUUGAAUGACAAGGUUGAAAACGAUCAACGUGAAGAGUCUAGCACAGUGCCUGGUUCAUUUUAGCUGCUUAAAUAAAUGUUAUUGGCAUCAGCAAUA